UACGAAGGGGGCUAGCGUUGUUCGGAUUUACUGGGCGCAAAGCGCACGUAGGCGGAUUGUUAAGUCAGGGGUGAAAUCCUGGAGCUCAACUCCGGAACUGCCUUUGAUACUGGCAAUCUUGAGUCCGGAAGAGGUGAGUGGAACUCCUAGUGUAGAGGUGGAAUUCGUAGAUAUUAGGAAGAACACCAGUGGCGAAGGCGGCUCACUGGUCCGGUACUGACGCUGAGGUGCGAAAGCGUGGGGAGCAAACAGG
rnacentral:rRNA from 1 species